rnacentral:rRNA from 1 species
AUUGAACGCUGGCGGCAGGCCUAACACAUGCAAGUCGAGCGGAUGAAGGGAGCUUGCUCCUGGAUUCAGCGGCGGACGGGUGAGUAAUGCCUAGGAAUCUGCCUGGUAGUGGGGGAUAACGUCCGGAAACGGGCGCUAAUACCGCAUACUUCCUGAGGGAGAAAGUGGGGGAUCUUCGGACCUCACGCUAUCAGAGGAGCCUAGGUCGGAUUAGCUAGUUGGUGGGGUAAAGGCCUACCAAGGCGACGAUCCGUAACUGGUCUGAGUGAAUGAUAAGUCACACUGGAACGGAGACACGGUCCAGACUCCUACGGGAGGCAGCAGUGGGGAAUAUUGGACAAUGGGGGAAAGCCUGAUCCAGCCAUGCCGCGUGUGUGAAGAAGGUCUUCGGAUUGUAAAGCCCUUUAAGUUGGGAGGAAGGGCAGUAAGUUAAUACCUUGCUGUUUUGACGUUACCAACAGAAUAAGCACCGGCUAACUUCGUG